rnacentral:rRNA from 1 species
AGAGAGAGACAUGCGCGCAUAUCAAUAAGCGGAGGAAAAGAAACUAACUAGGAUUCCCUCAGUAACGGCGAGUGAAGCGGGAAGAGCUCAAAUUUGAAAUCUUAAAGGGUUCUACCUUGACGAAUUGUAGUUUAAAGAAGUGUUUUCUGUUGGAGGUUUUGGUAAGAGUUCUUUGGAAUAGGACAUCAUAGAGGGUGAGAAUCCCGUAUUUGACCAUUACUUUCAACUUUGUGAUACACUUUCAAAGAGUCGGAUUGUUUGGGAAUGCAGUCCAAAAUGGGUGGUAAAUUUCAUCUAAAGCUAAAUAUUGGCGAGAGACCGAUAGCGAACAAGUACCGUGAGGGAAAGAUGAAAAGAACUUUGAAAAGAGAGUUAAACAGUACGUGAAAUUGUCAAAAGGGAAGCGUUUGACACCAGUGUUGUUUUCUCGAAAAUCAAUUAAAAAAGGCAGGAUUUUGUGUUGUAUUGACUUUAUCAGCUUUCUGCACUCUUUUCUUGUCCUUUUUUAAUGCACUUUUCGUUUAACAAGUCAACAUCAAUUUCUUUUGUUGUAAAAGGGUCAUUGGAAGGUGGCUUUCUUUUCGGAGAAAGUGUUUAUAGCCUUUGGCCUCUGCAAUCGGAGAGAUUGAGGUCUGCAGCGUAGAUCCUUCGGGGUUAGAUACAUUUGUGCUAAGUUAUAGCCUUUCAUAGACAACUUGUUGACUAUGAUCAGUCAUGUAGCUUACUCGCUUAUGCUAUUUUACCUACGCUUAGGAUGUUGAUGUGAUACUGCGAGCA